AAAAUCUCUUACCUAUUUAUUUUUACUACAAAUGGCCUUAAAUAAUUAAUCAUCAUUUAACUCAUAUGGAAUUGGUAUAUAUUAUAUUCUUCGUUAUAUAAUUUACUAUUAAUUUAACUCUCACUUGAAAUAUUAUACUAAUAGAUUGCGAUGAUUCUUUAUAAAGGGAAGAUAAUGUACUCUAUAGUUAUAUUCCCUGCUCCAGAAAAAGUAACAUGCAUCUUUAAGAUUAGAUUUUGACCAUAUUAUAGAACAGUAAUGUCAAAUAAUGAUACUGUAUAUCCUCCGUUUUAAUUUAUUUAUUUUAAUUAUUAUUUACAUAAAAUAUUUUAAAUUAUUAGUUAUAUUAAAUCUUUUAAUAGAGAAAUUAUUUUAUGAACAUAAUUUUUAAUAUAUAAAUUUUAUUAUAAAAAAUUAAAAAUUUUAUAUCCAAAUUCACAUCAAAUAUUAAUUAGUUUGAUCAUGAUACUUCGAUAAACAAAGAAACAGAGAAAUGGAUAAUAGUUACAAGAUUUGACGUUUGCAUGAAAGAGUAAAAUUACUGAAAGUACUGGUAUUUUAUUUACUAUAGAUAUUCUCCACAAGCACGGAUUAAAAAAUGCUUUCACAAAGUUUAUAUUGUCUCGUUUUGCCCGCUAUAUUAAAGCCUAGCAUUAUUGACGUUGGGCAACCUUUAUACGGUUUGAAUCGGGUAGCUUGAGUUGGAAUUGGAUUGGAUAUAAUAUUUUAAUUAAUUUAGUUUCAACCAAGUGAAAGGUGACACGUAUUUUUUUUUUAAAAAAAAUAUUUAUAAUUUAAGAAAAUCGUUAGUUGUUAGGGUAUUUUUGAGCCAUGAAGGUGAAUAGAUGGUAUUUUUGAACCAAUUUCAAUACUCAAAGGUAUUUUUGACCCUUUUUUGAAUUUGUAAUUAUGAUUUUUAAAAACCAUUAGUUGCAAGGGUGUUUUUGAGUCUUAAAGGUGGAUGGAGAAGUAUUUUUGAACCAUUUUCAAUUCUUGAAUGAUACUUUUGGCCCAAUAGGUUAACGAAGGAUAUUUUUAACCCAAUUUCAAUACUAAAAGGAUAUUUCUGACCCUUUUCCAAACAAGAAAUAGUCUACUUGAAGAGUUACAACAUAUUCUACUUAAUUCAUAAUUAUUUAUAAAAUAUUCUACUUGAAUUAAAGAGAAACCUAUUUAAACGAGGUUACACACUUGAAUUUAAGGAGAUACGUUUGUGUUUUUAUGAAAAAAAAAAAGAUUAUGUAAUUAUUAUUUUUUAUUAUUAUUUUAUUUUUAUAAAAAAAGGUCUAAGUUUGUUAUAAAUAAUACCUUUGAAAAAUACCACGAGAACAUCAUGUUAAAAGUAUUUUAUCAAUUAUGGAAAGUUAGAAUUUACGAGAAAAAUUAGCUCCUUGAGUUUGACGAAAAUUAUUUUAACCCAAAUAGGCCAUUAGUCGUAUGAACAAGACAAAGGUCAUCUCGAAAUAAACUACUUAAUUUUUUUAAAAGUCUAAUUUUAGGAAGAAAAAUCAAAGAAACCAAUUUGAUCCAUUUAGACAAGAUAAAUUAGGUGGGAAAAAUUAUAAAUUAAGUGAAAAAGUCAAGAUAAAAUAGGAUGACAACAACAUAGGAAACCACUAGAUUAAUUAAUUAAAGUCUGGGUUAAUACAAUGAAACAAGAAUAAAUUGUAAAUUGUAAGAGAAUAAUGAUAAAGAGUUGAAGUUGGGCCCCUAUUCUGGCCCAUCAACAAGCUUCCCAAUUUUGGGCUUCAUCCUCAUGGACUUGUGGUAUUUUCCUGCAGUGUAUACCACAUGUAUACCAGCCAUAUUUUCUGCAUUUUUGCGUACAUAUGUUGUACAUACGUGCAUACAAAUCUGUAUACUUGCUUCAAGCUUCAUUAUGCAUCAUAUAUCGGCAUGUACCAACCACUUUCGCCCUGUAAAACCCAUAUAUCUAUUGUAUACAGUGUAUACCAGUCCCUUUGGACUUGAUUUUUAAAGUCUAGACUUGAAGAUUCAGGCUGCCUUGGCCCUUUAAGGAGAUACGGAGGAGUAUAGGGUCUCAUGGACUCAUGAGUAGUGUUCAUGCAAAGAAAAUGAUGAUGCAGACUAGUAAACUAUUAAUGCAUGAAGAAAGAUAAAUUUAUCAAGCAUCUAGGAAAAUACACAUCACCAAAGACAACUGUCUCAUACCACAACCUCAGUUACAGAGAAAGCUAGUAUUUAUCUGUCUAGCCAAGGUCCCUUUUCAGAUGAAAAGGGGAAAUUAUGAAACAAGUAGAUCACAUUCAUACCAAAACAAACCUUUUUCUCAUUAAAGGAGUCAAGUAUAAAGAGGCUUAUGCAAUCGCUAUAAAGCAUCGACUUGAUCUAAUGCGGAGGCUAUCACAAAAAUAGAGUUAUAAAAAUGCUCUUACAGUCGUAGAAUGUUUUAUAGGAUUGCUAUCAAUUUUUUCCAUUUCAACGUCUAUAUCAUAACAGUAAAACGAAGAAGCCCGCAUGCUAUGGAACAUAAGACAACCAAGGAUUGCAAAUAUUAGGCAUGGACACUUGUUCUUGAACAACCAUUUUUUUUCUUUGCAAACUUCAAGGCCGAAAUAUUUUUUUUGUAUUCAGUUUAACAGAGAGAUGACCACAAAAUUGAGAAAAUCUUAACACAAGUUUAAAUUCUUUGAGAAUCAAUAGUUGAACAAACUUCAAACAAGACAAGGACUAUAGCAUCUCAAAGGCAGAAAAAGAACUAUAGCAUCCAAAAUUCCAGCAAAGGCAUCAAAAGUUCAAAUUUAGAUAGCAUCUCAUGCUUCCCGACAACUACAAAACAGAAUAACAUCAACACGAGAGGAAGUUUUUUACAAGGAGUUUGGACUGUAUACAUCAAGCAACCCCACUCGUUUUGUUCGUGCAGAGGCAGGUCUUGAUUUAAAUGAAACGAUGGCUUUAGAAUUCAACCCAUUCUAAUGACAACAAUAUUAACAAUACUUGAACAAAUUUGGACCUCAAGAAAAAUACAAUGACGAGAAUCAGGAUCAUUCUAACUUCUAUGUAAACAAUAGAGUUAAGAGAUUUCCAUAUCAAUAAAUCAUAAUCCAUGGCAUACAGAAGAUUGACAAAAAGGGGUUACCUUUUUUUGGGCAGCGAACGGGACAGAAGAGCCUAUCACUGAUGGAGCUUCCACCACCGAAGUUUCAAUUUUGGGUUCGUCGGAAUUGAUUUCUUAAUAGAGUUUCUUCUCAAAUUUUUUGGUUGCGUGUGAUUAGAGGAAUGCUCUUCCAGAAUCUCCAAUUUUUUCCAAAGAAUCAUCCUUUCUAUGAUGAAGGAAGAGUAUCCCAGAUUUAAAAGAGAAACUGGAGGUUGUUGUAGGAUGGGUCACGGGUUGGAGAAUUGCUAACAGACAAAAUUGUGACAUCUAGGGCAGUGAUUUUGUUGCUGGCUUUGACCGGGUUAUUCACCAAAAUGGUGAUGCGAGUUCUGGGUUUGAUGAAAGUCGUUUGAUCCUUAGCCAAAAAUGGCAUUUUGUGAAUAUCGGAUGUUAUUGUUUAUUGUUUAUACGCGUAAAGGGUAGGGGAAAUGGAGUUGGGCCGAGUCUUUGUUUUGGGCUGAUAGUUGUUCUUAUGUUAAGGAAAAA
rnacentral:lncRNA from 1 species